UGAGGGAGUAUUUGGGGUCAAUGGGCGGAAGCCUGAACCAGCCAAGUCGCGUGAGGGAUGACGGUCCUACGGAUUGUAAACCUCUUUAGCCGGGGAGUAAAGUGCGUGACGAGUCACGCAUUGAGAGUACCCGGAGAAUAAGCAUCGGCUAACUCCGUGCCAGCAGCCGCGGUAAUACGGAGGAUGCGGGCGUUAUCCGGAUUUAUUGGGUUUAAAGGGUGCGCAGGCGGCUCGUCAAGUCAGCGGUGAAAGCCCGGGGCUCAACCCCGGUAAGCCGUCGAAACUGGCAAGCUGGAGUUCGGGCGAGGCAGGCGGAAUGCGCGGUGUAGCGGUGAAAUGCAUAGAUAUUGCGCAGAACUCCGAUUGCGAAGGCAGCUUGCCAGCCCUGGACUGACGCUGAGGCACGA
rnacentral:rRNA from 1 species